AUUGAACGCUGGCGGCAGGCCUAACACAUGCAAGUCGAGCGGAUGACGGGAGCUUGCUCCUUGAUUCAGCGGCGGACGGGUGAGUAAUGCCUAGGAAUCUGCCUGGUAGUGGGGGACAACGUUUCGAAAGGAACGCUAAUACCGCAUACGUCCUACGGGAGAAAGCAGGGGACCUUCGGGCCUUGCGCUAUCAGAUGAGCCUAGGUCGGAUUAGCUAGUUGGUGGGGUAAUGGCUCAACAAGGCGACGAUCCGUAACUGGUCUGAGAGGAUGAUCGGUCACACUGGAACUGAGACACGGUCCAGACUCCUACGGGAGGCAGCAGUAGGGAAUAUUGGACAAUGGGCGAAAGCCUGAUCCAGCCAUGCCGCGUGUGUGAAGAAGGUCUUCGGAUUGUAAAGCACUUUAAGUUGGGAGGAAGGGCAGUAAGUUAAUACCUUGCUGUUUUGACGUUACCGACAGAAUAAGCACCGGCUAACUCUGUGCCAGCAGCCGCAGUAACAC
rnacentral:rRNA from 1 species